CGCAGCCGUCUUGGAUGCCUUCUCAGAUGAGAGCAUCGCGAGGAUAGACUGGAAUUUGUUGGGCGAGGUCUGCACAAAGGAGGUGUAUUCUUCCGA
rnacentral:SRP_RNA from 1 species